rnacentral:lncRNA from 1 species
AUAUAUAUAUGAGUACGUCUCCCGUGCUUUCGAAAGUACGGAGGCUUCCGUACUUAUAAAUUAUUUUCGAUGAUAGGACAUCCGAUUCGACGAUUGGUUCCGUUACGCAUAAUCUAUGCUAUUGGAACUAUUUAGAAACCAAAUUUUAUAAUUUUUCGACAUCAUUUACUAAGCGAUCAUAGGGUCUCAAAAAUGACUAUUUUAACGGCCGAUGUAGCACGUUUUUAAGUUCAACAGUGUAUAAGUAUCCAAAUUACAUGAAAUUUUAAUAGAAAAUUCUACUUAACAUCAAGAGUAAGAACAAUACUUCCGAUUUGAAAUUUGAGUCCUUUAUCACUGUUUUUUAUGUGAUUUUUAUUUUCAGCCGUUCAUUUUGAGGAUACUUGUUUACUAGGCAAACGAAGUCAAAAAAUUAUAAAAUUUAGUUUCUAAAUAGUUCUAAUAGUGCAGAUCAUGUUUAAUGGAACCGAUCGUCGAAUCGGACGUUCCAUUAUCGAAAACAACUUACAAGUACGGAGACCUCCGUACUUUUGAAAGCAUAGGAGCCUAACUCUAUAUAUAUACAUAUAUAUUAAGGAGAUACAUAGAAGGGACAAAACUCAAACAUAAUUGUGGACAGUGAAAAAGCUUAUGUAGGCAGUAGUAUGCUCAUAAUUCCAUUGUCAGCAGCCAUGUGCUUAGGAGAAAAGCUCUCUCUCAACAAGCUAACAAGCUGAAACGACCAGCAUUUAUAUUUAUUUGGAGAGAGAUGUGCGGUUAGAAUGAUAUGGGCUUCCUAGGGUUGAGUAGGUGGUUGGUUUAAUAGUAUGAUUUAACGGGUAAAAAUGAUCAAAAUGGUAGAUCUAACGGCGGAAAAUUUGGUAGCACCAAGUGCUUCGUGCUAUUAAUAGCAUAGUAGCCGAACUCUCUCUCUCUCUCUCUCUCUCUCUCUCUCUCUCUCUCUCUCUAUAUAUAUAUAUAUAUAUAUAU